rnacentral:rRNA from 1 species
AGUGAACGCUGGCGGUAGGCCUAACACAUGCAAGUCGAACGGCAGCACAGUAAGAGCUUGCUCUUACGGGUGGCGAGUGGCGGACGGGUGAGGAAUACAUCGGAAUCUACUUUUUCGUUGGGGAUAACGUAGGGAAACUUACGCUAAUACCGCAUACGACCUACGGGUGAAAGCAGGGGAUCUUCGGACCUUGCGCGAUUGAAUGAGCCGAUGUCGGAUUAGCUAGUUGGCGGGGUAAAGGCCCACCAAGGCGACGAUCCGUAGCUGGUCUGAGAGGAUGAUCAGCCACACUGGAACUGAGACACGGUCCAGACUCCUACGGGAGGCAGCAGUGGGGAAUAUUGGACAAUGGGCGCAAGCCUGAUCCAGCCAUACCGCGUGGGUGAAGAAGGCCUUCGGGUUGUAAAGCCCUUUUGUUGGGAAAGAAAAGCAGCAGGUUAAUACCCCGCUGUUCUGACGGUACCCAAAGAAUAAGCACCGGCUAACUUCAUG